CCUGGAGGGGCUGGGCCUGAGGCAUCUGCGUCUUCCGUGCUCUCUUGCCCGUUCCCCUACUCCUCCUUCCAACGUUGUUCGGACUCUCAUGCCGCUGGCCGCUGUCCGAGUCGACCAUGCUGUGUCAUCCCUCCAGCCCAUGCCGAGGCCUGGUUCUCUGUUAGGGAUGCCGUCCCCCUGCCAGUGCGCCUGGGGAGGCGGUCGCCCACCCCGCGGAGGGUCGGGACCCUCACCCUGCCCCGCAAAGCGCCCUGUUCCUAGGAUCGCAGUGUGUGUGUGUGUGUGUGUGUGUGUGUGUGCGCGCUAAUUUGGGGGACCCGCACCCUGCCCCCCUCACCCUGCCCCGCAAGGCGUCCUCCUGGCUGUGGUGGCGGGCACCUGAAAUCCAAGCUACUCAGGAGACUGAGGCAGGAGAAUUGCUUGAG
rnacentral:lncRNA from 1 species